CCCCCACAUUGGAACUGAGACACGGUCCAAACUCCUACGGGAGGCAGCAGUGAGGAAUAUUGGUCAAUGGACGAGAGUCUGAACCAGCCAAGUAGCGUGCAGGAUGACGGCCCUAUGGGUUGUAAACUGCUUUUGUUUGGGAAUAAUCGACAUUACGUGUAAUGUUUUGCAUGUACCAUUCGAAUAAGGACCGGCUAAUUCCGUGCCAGCAGCCGCGGUAAUACGGAAGGUCCAGGCGUUAUCCGGAUUUAUUGGGUUUAAAGGGAGUGUAGGCGGUUGGUUAAGCGUGUUGUGAAAUGUAGAUGCUCAACAUCUGACUUGCAGCGCGAACUGGCUGACUUGAGUACACACAACGUAGGCGGAAUUCAUGGUGUAGCGGUGAAAUGCUUAGAUAUCAUGAAGAACUCCGAUUGCGAAGGCAGCUUACGGGAGUGUUACUGACGCUUAAGCUCGAAGGUGCGGGUAUCGAACAGGAUUAGAUACCCUGGUAGUCCGCACAGUAAACGAUGGAUGCCCGCUGUUAGCACCUGGUGU
rnacentral:rRNA from 1 species